GAUGAACGCUGGCGGCGUGCCUAAUACAUGCCAGUCGAGCGAACGGACGAGAAGCUUGCUUCUCUGAUGUUAGCGGCGGACGGGUGAGUAACACGUGGAUAACCUACCUAUAAGACUGGGAUAACUUCGGGAAACCGGAGCUAAUACCGGAUAAUAUUUUGAACCGCAUGGUUCAAAAGUGAAAGACGGUCUUGCUGUCACUUAUAGAUGGAUCCGCGCUGCAUUAGCUAGUUGGUAAGGUAACGGCUUACCAAGGCAACGAUGCAUAGCCGACCUGAGAGGGUGAUCGGCCACACUGGAACUGAGACACGGUCCAGACUCCUACGGGAGGCAGCAGUAGGGAAUCUUCCGCAAUGGGCGAAAGCCUGACGGAGCAACGCCGCGUGAGUGAUGAAGGUCUUCGGAUCGUAAAACUCUGUUAUUAGGGAAGAACAUAUGUGUAAGUAACUGUGCACAUCUUGACGGUACCUAAGCAGAAAGCCACGGCUAACUACGU
rnacentral:rRNA from 1 species